CAACUUCUCAUAUUCCAUUAGGGUAGCCUCCAACCUGAUGGCUGAACACUGGUUUCUCGAGCUUUCGAUGCUGCCUGGCCUGAUGAGUUCCUUCAGUAAUUUGUGGGUGUUCCUUUGGAUUUCCAGCAUCUACAGAUUUUCUCAACUUUGUAUGUACCAAGAAGCGCUGAAUUAGAGGUGGCUGGAGCAUCAACACAAAGAUAUCGCUUGUGAACAAGGAGUUGUAGACGCCAACAUUGGAACUGGAACAUAUCCAACAAGUGGCUUCCUUUCAUGUUCCAUUCCCAUUCAGUCUCAAAAUAGAGGGAUGUCCAUUUAGAACAGAGGCAGCCAACGAAACAAAGAAAAACCGUAGAACCCAGAGAAAGAAAAACAUCAAACACAACCCCUACACGUGAAGAAAAAAAAGAAAUUGCGCAAAUGGCAACAAAUUGAAGAGCGAAAACCACAGAAUAGAAAACAUAAAAUCAAAAGAGUCCAAUCACAAACAUCAGUAAAUCUGCAGAUGCUGGAAAUCUUGUGACUGUUGAUCAAAAGGGUCCAAGCGCAUUUCAGUACAGUCAGCCCAGCGAUCGUUAUCUGCCGGGUUGCCCUGAUUCAAAACUCACCCAAAAUAACAACAAAAGAAGAAGUGACCAGAAAUCAGAAACCAGAAACACAUGAGUUUCUGUUUGGAGAUGUCACAAAGGUCAAGGCUGACAUGAAGUGUUGUAUCAAAAAAGUACAUUAGA